rnacentral:siRNA from 1 species
AGUAUGUAUUUGUAUCUCUCAGG